AGUGGGAUAGCUGGGUCAAAUGGAGGUUCCAUUCCAGGUUUUUUUAAUGAAUCUCCAUACUGCUUUCCAGAUUGGCUGCACCAAUUUGCAGUCCCACCAGCAAU
rnacentral:pre_miRNA from 1 species